CUGUAGUCUAGUCUUUUGACUGGAUUGUAGUCUAGUCUAUUGACUGGGCUAUAGUCUAGUAUAUUGACUGGACUACAGUCUAGUCUAUUGACUGGACUGUG
rnacentral:pre_miRNA from 1 species